rnacentral:rRNA from 1 species
UACAGAGGGGGCAAGCGUUGUUCGGAAUUACUGGGCGUAAAGGGCGCGUAGGCGGCCUGUUAAGUCGAACGUGAAAUCCCCGGGCUCAACCCGGGAACUGCGUCCGAUACUGGCAGGCUUGAAUCCGGGAGAGGGAUGCGGAAUUCCAGGUGUAGCGGUGAAAUGCGUAGAUAUCUGGAGGAACACCGGUGGCGAAGGCGGCAUCCUGGACCGG